UACGUAGGGUGCGAGCGUUAAUCGGAAUUACUGGGCGUAAAGCGUGCGCAGGCGGUUUGCUAAGACCGAUGUGAAAUCCCCGGGCUCAACCUGGGAACUGCAUUGGUGACUGGCAGGCUAGAGUAUGGCAGAGGGGGUAGAAUUCCACGGUGUAGCAGUGAAAUGCGUAGAGAUGUGGAGGAAUACCGAUGGCGAAGGCAGCCCCCUGGGCCAAUACUGACGCUCAUGCACGAAAGCGUGGGGAGCAAACAGG
rnacentral:rRNA from 1 species